CACGAAGGGAGGAGCAUGGCACCAUCUUGGAAGUCAGCGGCACUGGAAAAAAUGACCCUGGUGUUGCAACUUCGUGGAAACAAGAGGGGGCAUUUACUGACCUGGAGUGAGACUGUGGGCCCAUGAGGAGGAGGGAAUGCACAUCUAGUGUCUGGGCAGAAGGGGAUGUUCUCAGAGUAACAGUGAAGGAAUCCCAUGACAGAAGAUAUGAAGGAAAAACAGACCAAUGGCUUAUCUUAUGCCCACAGACAUUGAGUUUUAGCCAGAGGAGCUGUUAUCCCUGACCUUUGAUGAGGAGGACCUCUCAGCCUCUAUCCCUACCAUGGCAUACAGGACUGCAGAAGCCUCUAACCUCAUGCUUAGGUUCCUUUUGUUAAAGAAAUGCCCGUCCUUGAUGGAACACCAAAACCUCAUUAAAUUGCAAACACUGGACUAUAAAAGAUGGAGAAUGAGCAAUUCCACUUAAAUUGUAGCUCUCCAUGCUCACCACAGAAGGACAAGGAGUUCUAAAGGCCAGUUGGUUGGUGGAAGGCAUGACUGACUCUUGCUACCCUCCUUUUAUGGAGUGUCCAUAGUUGAGUUUGUUUGUGGCGAUCAGAGCAAGCAGGUGAAUCUAAGCUUGAGAAGAAGGCAUCUGUCCACAGCUUGCCAGUCUAGCUUGUCAGGUGGAGGACAAAUCCAUACAACAGAAUCUAUAAUAAAUGCCUC